rnacentral:lncRNA from 1 species
GUGAGGGGAGUUAUUUACUAAUUAGCGACAAUUAAUCAAGUACAAGAGAGGAGCGAAAACCUGCAAACACUCCGCCCUUCGUGGAAUAAGUUUGACAGUUGGUGUAGAGAAUCUUUGAAUCAUCUAAAUCGCUGUUAACUAUAUUUUCCACAACCAAAAAUAUUGUAUUUUCAGCUGUGUGAAGCUGGUGUACAAAACCAAAAGACACAAAAAUGAAACUUAAGAACGGAAGCAUAGAAAUAGCGCACAUAGAACGGAUGUACCACUUCUUAGACUUGCUUUAAAUGACAAUGACAGAUCUAUAACUUACAUUUAUAUGGGAAUUUUGUUGGGUUGCCAAAAAGUUACAUACUACAGCUUUAAUUCGUUUUUAUUACUUUAAACAUGUAUUUCUGGUCCCACCCCUGUAAACAAUUUUCAAGUACAGAAGCAAGUGCAUACAGAAUUAAGUGCAUUUUCCUCAACCUUCCCUCACUUUGCAGCUUUCCUUACGCUGGGUGUGUCCCCACGUGACUCACAUUUCAGGGAAAGCUGUGAUGUCAGGUGGACUUCAGUUAGGUGUUAGCAAGACUAUCUUCCUUCCGCCUCUCUUCAAUAACCUUCAAACUUUUUUGAAACGAGGAGAGAGUAUGCUGGAGUUAAGUAUUUUGGAUUGAGAAAAGGCCAUGGGCUUUAAAAGUGAUCUCAAAUAGAGUGCCACUGUAUGAGACAUAAUACCCAUAAAAUGUAGCAGUCAAACAGGGAAAUGGUUCCAAUUGUUUUUCCACCAUUAAUUUUUCCCAUAGGGGAUUUUAGAAACACUUAAAAUAAGGGCUGUGUUUUGUGUAGGCGUACCCUAUUGUGAUGUUUUGAUAACCAUGUAAAUCUCUCGAGGACAAGGUGACUUUUAUCAAUAUAUUUGCCUGUAUUCACCCCGUAAAAAUUAAAUGCUAAUUAGCUGCUAAUGUGGCUAUCAUAAAGAACUACAAAUGCCAUGAUGAUUUGGCAAAGGUAAGAAUCUCUGGAUUAACUAUCUAACGUUAGCAAAGGUGUCAGCUAGAGAUGACAUGUAUGAGCUUGCAGGGAUUUGUAGUUUUACAUGUCUAUUUUACGCUAAUUAGCAUUUUCAAAUCUGAGAGUAAAUGGAGCCGAAUAUAUUGACAAGUCACCUUGUCCAAGUGAGGAAUUACAUGGUAGAGUUCGCGCCCCCCUCACGUAUCAGAUGUCCUUGUCAGUCAUCCAACAUGUAUGGGUGUGUUCAUUAUGGCCAAAUAGUGCAAGCUAAAACUCCCAUGCAGUGCUUUUUUAAGGUGGAAUGGGGGUAAUGCUGUGCUAUUUGAAUGUUUUGACAAUUAAAAGACUGACCUUAAAUACAUGGCGAGGGAGAGUUAUCACAAAAUGGCAUUGAACAAGGACUGCAACUUUUUCGGAUUAUUUAAAAUUCUGACAAAUAGCCUAGGUGUUUUCACUAGAAACAAAACGGAAGCAAACAGAGAGGGACCUACCUCAAUAUCUCCAAACUCGUUUCAUUGCAAAAUGUUUUCGCUAUGGUGUGCAUUAGUCUAAUGAAUACACCCUAGGUCUUGACAUCUGAAAAUAAAUAGCCUUGAAGUCUAGGCUAUAAAUUAGUGGCCUAUAUAUGAAUUCUGAAGAUGACUUAUUUGUCAUGUUUGCAUGCCAUUAUGAAAGAUAAGAAGUUUAAAACUCAUGUGACUUGUGUAAAUGCUUCUGUCCUCUGUAGAUCAUGUGUCUCCUAGUAAACUCAGCAAAAAGAGAAACGUCCUCUCACUGUUAACUGUGUUUAUUUUCAGAAAACUUAACAUGUGUAAAUAUUUGUAUGAACAUAACAAGAUUCAACAACUGAGACAUAAACUGAACAAGUUCCACAGACAUGUGACUAACAGAAAUGGAAUAAUGUGUCCCUGAACAAAGGGGGGGUCAAAAUCAAAAGUAACAGUAUCUGGUGUGGCCACCAGCUGCAUUAAGUACUGCAGAGCAUCUCCUCCUCAUGGACUGCACCAGAUUUUAAAUUUCUUGCUGUGAGAUGUUACCCCACUGUUCCACCAAGGCACCUGCAAGUUCCCGGACAUUUCUGUGGGGAAUCGCCCUAGCCCUCACCCUCCGAUCCAACUGGUCCCAGAUGUGCUCAAUGGGAUUGAGAUCCGGGCUCUUCGCUGGCCAUGGCAAAACACUGACAUUCCUGUCUUGCAGGAAAUCACGCACAGAACGAGCAGUAUGGCAGGUGGCAUUGUCAUGCUGGAGGGUCAUGUCAGGAUGAGCCUGCAGGAAGGGUACCACAUGAGGGAGGGGGAUGUCUUGCCUGUAACGCACAGCGUUGAGAUUGCCUGCAAUGACAACAAGCUCAGUCCGAUGAUGCUGUGACACACUGCCCCAGAACAUGACGGACCCUCCAAAUCGAUCCCGCUCCAGAGUACAGGCCUCGGUGUAACGCUCAUUCCUUCGACAAUAAACGCAAAUCCGACCAUCACCCGUGGUGAGAUAAAACCGCGAUUCGUCAGUGAAGAGCACAUUUUGCCAGUCCUGUCUGGUCCAGCGAUGGUGGGUUUGUGCCCAUAGGCGACAUUGUUGCCAAUGAUGUCUGGUGAGGACCUACAAGCCCUCAGUCCAGCCUCUCUCAGCCUAUUGCGGACAGUCUGAGCACUGAUGGAGGGAUUGUGUGUUCCUGGUGUAACUCGGGCAGUUGUUGUUGCCAUCCUGUACCUGUCCCGCAGGUGUGAUGUUCGGCUGUACCGAUCCUGUGCAGGUGUUGUUACACGUGGUCUGCCACUGCGAGGACGAUCAGCUGUCCGUCCUGUCUCCCUGUAGCGCUGUCUUAGGCGUCUCACAGUACAAACAUUGCAAUUUAUUGCCCUGGCCACAUCUGCAGUCCUCAUGCCUCCUUGCAGCAUGCCUAAGGCAUGUUCACGCAGAUGAGCAGAGACCCUGGGCAUCUUUCUUUUGGUGUUUUUCAGAGUCAGUAGAAAGGUCUCUUUAGUGUCCUAAGUUUUCAUAACUGUGACCUCAAUUGCCUACCGUCUGUAAGCUGUUAGUGUCUUAAUGACCGUUACACAGGUGCAUGUUCAUUAAUUCUUUAUGGUUCAUUGAACAAGCAUGGGAAACGGUGUUUAAACCCUUUACAAUGAAGAUCUGUGAAGUUAUUUGGAUUUUUACAAAUUAUCUUUGAGAAGCCGGGUCCUGAAAAAGGGACGUUUCUUUUUUUGCUGAGUUUAUUACUGAGUGCCUUAUUUAUUUAUGGGUGAGUAUAGUGCCAUCUGUACUUCACCUCUCUCUCUCUUUCAAAUACACACGCACACCUCCCAUCUGUUACUCAUCUGUCUUUGAAACCCUCAGGGUCAGUUGUUGAAGAGGUUGAGGUGUAAUACGGCAGAGAAUACAUGAUGCCACAAUGACAUUUCAAUUUUGUUUACCAAACUUCUUCCAACCAAUUUCCCCCUGGGGUCCCAAGAAGCUUGGGUUGGACGGACCUGAGAUGAGCUGUUUUGGAAUAAGCUGAAGGACCCACGCUACAUAAGUAGGACCUACAACUCCUUGACAGUACCAAAUGUGAUGGAAAAAAAUAUUCCCAUCCCCCUCUAUCAUGCUUGAUAGACAUUCCCAGUCUUCAAGUUGAAGGAUAACUGUGAACCUUCUGCACCAAUUUUCCGUAGCCACCCCAGGAAACCAGCUUUACCUUCUCGUUGUGGACAGUGAGCCGAAUCCCUCCAAUGAGACGAGUUUUCUGAAUCCACUGCUGUACAAUCUUGUUGUGGACAGUGAGUCUAAUCCAGCCAAUGGCAAUGAGACUACACAUGUGACUUCCCCUCAAAUCCCCCCUAUGAUAAUUCUUUGAUAUUUUCGACCCGGUGAUUUGUAUGUGUUUGUCUAAUUGGUACAAUGUGAGGAAGUCCUUAUUACUGUUCGCCUGGCAACCCAGAAUCGUUACUCUGGCCAAAAUCUACACCACUCCCACAGAUGUUAGUUUCUUCUCCACAAUAAAUCCGGAUCGGAGUACUUCCCCAACCCUUCACUGGAUGUGAACACAUUCGUGGCCGUCUGUUUGGGCCAGAGUCUGAACACACGUCGGUAAAGUGGUGGUUUGAAAAUUCGUCAUUGACUUUGAUACUCUGAUUGUUAGCGACGAUCCAAUCGCUGAUGACUUUAUUUUGUACAAUGCCCCUUGUGCCCCUCUUCACCACAAACAACUUCAAUGAUGGCAGUCUCAGACAGUAUGUAGCAAACGAUAGUGCAGCAGAAGAAGUGUGUCAGGCUAUAUUACCAAAGACUUUUUUAUAACUAACCCAAGAUAGAUCAGAACCUGUCGUUUGCAAUGGGAGCAAAUUAAUCAUAGUGGGCAGAACAAGCAUGGAGGUGGGCAGAGCCAAGCACAAGCUAGUGAGAUCCUAUUUGCGCGUUCCAGCAUUUUGCAUAUUUCCGUUAGGGAACUCCUACCCUUGCACUCUAAAACAAUGCAAAUCAAAAAAAUGCAGUCCACUCGGUGUGUUACAUAUUCUCGUUUUGGAAACAACUGUAUGGAGAUCAAAUGUUUCAUUGAUGAGGAAAUUAGCGGCCAAAAUGUCGGCCAAAAUCCAUCUCGCUCCAUCUUCUCCCACUGCCGGCCACUGUGUUUUCUCUCAUCACCAUAUUUGGUAGUGAGUGGAAACGCCAACCGGACGCUUCACAUUUAUACAUCUGGUGAAACAUCAGGCUCAUUGUUCUAUCCAUGAUAUUACUGUAUAGUUGUCAAUGUAUUGGUUCACUCUGAAAUGUUUUGGAGCACCAGCUUGUGCUAGCUGAUGUUUUGAAUAUGAAUACUGAUUUCUCAACUGAUGAACUUUGUAAUAUAAUAAACUACAAUAUAAAAAAACAUUGAUCAACAUCUCUCAUUGACUAUCACUGAAUGAUUGUAGUUCCCGCAGAACCUGUUUUGAAAUGUUCCAGGAGUUAUUUACAUUUACAUUUA